AUUGAACGCUGGCGGAAUGCUUUACACAUGCAAGUCGAACGGCAGCACGGACUUCGGUCUGGUGGCGGGUGGCGAACGGGUGAGUAAUGUAUCGGAACGUGCCCAGUCGUGGGGGAUAACGUAGUGAAAAUUACGCUAAUACCGCAUACGAUCUAUGGAUGAAAGCGGGGGAUCGCAAGACCUCGCGCGAUUGGAGCGGCCGAUAUCAGAUUAGGUAGUUGGUGGGGUAAAGGCCCACCAAGCCAACGAUCUGUAGCUGGUCUGAGAGGACGACCAGCCACGCUGGAACUGAGACACGGUCCAGACUCCUACGGGAGGCAGCAGUGGGGAAUGUUGGACAAUGGGCGCAAUCCUGAUCCAGCCAUUCCGCGUGCAGGAUGAAGGCCCUCGGGUUGUAAACUGCUUUUGUACAGAACGAAAAGGUUUCUACUAAUACUAGGAGCUCAUGACGGUACUGUAAGAAUAAGCACCGGCUAACUACGUGCCAGCCGCCGCGUAA
rnacentral:rRNA from 1 species